rnacentral:tRNA from 1 species
GUCCAGAUAGCCAAGCAGUAAGGCAUUGGUCUGCAAAACCAAUCAUCGUGGGUGCAAUUCCCGCUCUGGACUCCA